AGUGAACGCUGGCGGUAGGCCUAACACAUGCAAGUCGAACGGCAGCACAGUAAGAGCUUGCUCUUACGGGUGGCGAGUGGCGGACGGGUGAGGAAUACAUCGGAAUCUACUUUUUCGUGGGUGAUAACGUAGGGAAACUUACGCUAAUACCGCAUACGACCUACGGGUUAAAGCAGGGGAUCUUCGGACCUUGCGCGAUUGUAUGAGCCGAUGUCGGAUUAGCUAGUUGGCGGGGUAAAGGCCCACCAAGGCGACGAUCCGUAGCUGGUCUGAGAGGAUGAUCAGCCACACUGGAACUGAGACACGGUCCAGACUCCUACGGGAGGCAGCAGUGGGGAAUAUUGGACAAUGGGCGAAAGCCUGAUCCAGCCAUGCCGCGUGGGUGAAGAAGGCCUUCGGGUUGUAAAGCCCUUUUGUUGGGAAAGAAAAGCAGCAGGUUAAUACCCCGCUGUUCUGACGGUACCCAAAGAAUAAGCACCGGCUAACUUCGUG
rnacentral:rRNA from 1 species